CAGCCGCCGCGGGAAUACAGAGGGUGCGAGCGUUAAUCGGAUUUACUGGGCGUAAAGCGUGCGUAGGCGGCUUCUUAAGUCAAAUGUGAAAUCCCUGAGCUUAACUUAGGAAUUGCAUUCGAUACUGGGAAGCUAGAGUAUGGGAGAGGAUGGUAGAAUUCCAGGUGUAGCGGUGAAAUGCGUAGAGAUCUGGAGGAAUACCGAUGGCGAAGGCAGCCAUCUGGCCUAAUACUGACGCUGAGGUACGAAAGCAUGGGGAGCAAACAGGAUUAGAUACCCGCGUAGUCCCUGUCUCUUAUAC
rnacentral:rRNA from 1 species